CCCGUGCCUGCCGGCCUGCCCCGUGCCCCAGAUCAACCCCCCGCGGGCUCCCCGCCGGGGUUCCUCCCGUGCAGUAACAGGUGUGAGCAUCCAUGCAGCAUUUUGGUGGUCAUGUAUGAUACUGCACACAGUG
rnacentral:snoRNA from 1 species